rnacentral:rRNA from 1 species
AACGAACGCUGGCGGCAGGCCUAACACAUGCAAGUCGAACGCCCCGCAAGGGGAGUGGCAGACGGGUGAGUAACGCGUGGGAACAUACCCUUCGGUUCGGAAUAGCUCAGGGAAACUUGGAUUAAUACCGGAUACGUCCGUAAGGAGAAAGAUUUAUCGCCGAAGGAUUGGCCCGCGUCUGAUUAGCUUGUUGGUGAGGUAAUGGCUCACCAAGGCGACGAUCAGUAGCUGGUCUGAGAGGAUGACCAGCCACAUUGGGACUGAGACACGGCCCAAACUCCUACGGGAGGCAGCAGUGGGGAAUAUUGGACAAUGGGCGAAAGUCUGAUCCAGCCAUGCCGCGUGAGUGAUGAAGGCCUUAGGGUUGUAAAGCUCUUUUACCCGGGAAGGUAAUGACGGUACCGGGAGAAUAAGCCCCGGCUAACUUCGUGCCAGCAGCCGCGGUAAUACGAAGGGGGCUAGCGUUGUUCGGAAUUACUGGGCGUAGAGCGCACGUAGGCGGAUUUUUAAGUCAGGGGUGAAAUCCCGAGGCUCAACCUCGGAACUGCCUUUGAUACUGGGAAUCUUGAGUCCGGGAGAGGUGAGUGGAACUGCGAGUGUAGAGGUGAAAUUCGUAGAUAUUCGCAAGAACACCAGUGGCGAAGGCGGCUCACUGGCCCGGUACUGACGCUGAGGUGCGAAAGCGUGGGGAGCAAACAGGAUUAGAUACCCUGGUAGUCCACGCCGUAAACGAUGGAUGCUAGCCGUUAGACAGCUUGCUGUUUAGUGGCGCAGUUAACGCUUUAGGCAUCCCGCCUGGGGAGUACGGUCGUAAGAUUA